rnacentral:rRNA from 1 species
UUGAAAAGAACUUUGAAGAGAGAGUUCAAGAGUACGUGAAACCGUUCAGGGGUAAACCUAAGAAACCCAAAAGAUCGAACGGGGAGAUUCAUCGUCAGCGGCGCUGGCUUCGCGUCGGUGGGCGAUGUUCCGCGGAGCCCUUGCGGAUCCUUACGCGGACACGCUACCGUGCGUCGAUGUCCGGCGCUUUCGUCGUCGUGCACUUCUCCCCUAGUAGGACGUCGCGACCCGCUGGGUGUCGGUCUACGGCCCGGGUGCGGUGACUGCCGCGUCGCCGGUAAAACGGCACGCGGCAAACCCCCGGUCGCCCGGCCGGCUGCCCGGCGGUACACGCAUGGUAUCAGGCCGCACUCAUCUCACGUGUGUGCGUCGGGACCGUCGCAAGCGCGCGCCAAGGCACUCUGAGGUUCAACGGGACCUAUACGCCGUCCUCGGUCCUUGGCCCGCUGUUGGUCGUACGGAACUCCUUCGACAGGCCUGCAAACUCGAUAUACCGGUCGGCGACGCUACUGCUUUGGGUACUCUUAGGACCCGUCUUGAAACACGGACCAAGGAGUCUAACAUGUACGCGAGUCAUUGGGACUAGCGAGACCUAAAGGCGCAAUGAAAGUGAAGGUCGGCCUUGGUUGUCGACCGAGGGAGGAUGGGCCGCGUCGCGAUGCGGCUCCGCACUCCCGGGGCGUCUCGUUCUCAUCGCGAGAAGAGGCGCACCCAGAGCGUACACGUUGGGACCCGAAAGAUGGUGAACUAUGCCUGGUCAGGACGAAGUCAGGGGAAACCCUGAUGGAGGUCCGUAGCGAUUCUGACGUGCAAAUCGAUCGUCGGAACUGGGUAUAGGGGCGAAAGACUAAUCGAACCAUCUAGUAGCUGGUUCCCUCCGAAGUUUCCCUCAGGAUAGCUGGCACUCGGCCGUUCCACCAGGAACGCGCGCGAGUCUCAUCUGGUAAAGCGAAUGAUUAGAGGCCUUGGGGCCGAAACGACCUCAACCUAUUCUCAAACUUUAAAUGGGUGAGAUCUCUGGCUUUCUUGAAUUAUGAAGCCACGAGCAUCUCGGAUCAGAGUGCCAAGUGGGCCAUUUUUGGUAAGCAGAACUGGCGCUGUGGGAUGAACCAAACGCAGAGUUAAGGCGCCCAACUCGACGCUCAUGGGACACCAUGAAAGGCGUUGGUUGCUUAAGACAGCAGGACGGUGGCCAUGGAAGUCGGAAUCCGCUAAGGAGUGUGUAACAACUCACCUGCCGAAGCAACUAGCCCUGAAAAUGGAUGGCGCUGAAGCGUCGAGCCUAUACUCUGCCGUCAGCGGCAAGUGGGGCGGCCGCGCGCAAAGCGCGCGCCGUCACGAAGCCCUGACGAGUAGGAGGGUCGCGGCGGUGUGCGCAGAAGGGUCU